UUCUCGUUCGACGUUGAACGCUCGAUUAUCCCAUUAAUACGACGAGUCCGUGCGUCCAUCCGUCCCGUCGGGAUCUUUAAUUAUUUAAAUGCAGAAGCAACGUUGCGCGGAUCACGACGGCGAAGGGUACACGCGGGGGCCUGCCAAAGUCAGGGGCGGACCUCUCGUUGGACCUCUCGUUGGAUUUGUUAUCGAGAGCGGUCGAGUAGUAUGCGCGCGCCUUCGAUCGGCUUUCGAAUUUGUUCCAGGUUAUUCGAGGAGGGAUUAGACAGUUUGUUUCGAUGGUUGAUGGAGAGAUCGACACACGGGUUUUAUGUUAAAUCUUUUGAGUUAAUGGAGAAGAUUAUUGAUUUCUCGGUUGUAGAUACUCGCAUGUAGGCCAGGCUGACCCUGACACGAUGGCAAGCAAUACCCUUGGAAGAUUUGCCUCAAUGAUUCUUAACUGGUCAACAGAGGGUUCUCACAGCCUCCAGCUCAAGAAACAGCAAUAUCCAAGAUUGAUACCUCUUCAAUUGUAAACUCAUUCACAGAUUGAUUCUAAAAAGCCUGAGUUAACGUACUAACUUUCUCAAAUAAUUAUUGUAAUUAGACUGCGGAUUGAUUAUUGAGAUAUUGUUAAUAAUUAUUAACAAUAUUAGAUAUUUAAACAAUCACUUCUAACAAUGUUUAUUGUGAUUAUUGUGAUAUAUUGUAGUACAAAUGUUAUAAUAAAAUAUAUAUAUUUUUUUUAACUUCAAUGUUAAUUGGUGAUAUUUAUCGGUAUAUUAUAAUAAAAUAUUAAAUAUUAAAAGUAUUAAAUGUUUCAAAUUUAUUAUUGUCAUUAUUUACGAAUAAAAUUUUUUUAUAUAUUUAUAAUCAGCAUGAAAAGAGCUUUCUAACAAUAUAUCAAUAUAUAUAUAUAUGUAUAUCUAUUUCGAUGAAUAAUUCAAAUCCCAUUUUAUAGAGUCUAUAACCUGAAGAAAAAUAUUUAUAAAUAUUUUCGAAUGAAUAAAUUACAAUAUUUAAAAUAUUCAUCAUUUUUAUAACUUUAAUCUCAAAUAUGUUUUUAAUUCGAAAUUGAAGUAACUAUUCGAAGCAAUUUAUUCCAGAUUCUUAUUCUUAAUAAUAUUAUUAUCCAAAUCCAAAAUAAUUAAUUAUUUUAAAUUUGAAAGAAAUAAAAAAGAAAUAAUCACAAUCAAUUAUAAAUCAUAUAUAAUGAUGUUAUUUUCAUUAAAAUUAUAGAUAAAUAUGAGAUAACAUUAAAAUAAUGAUCAAACAAAUAACACAUGUUAUUUAAAAUAAACAUCUCAAAUAAUUUCACUUAAAAUAUGCUCAACCUUACUCAACAGAUCAAUCAUCAUAAUCGUUAAAACUAAUGAUAUACAUAUUUAAUGUGACACGACAGAUAUAUCAGCAACCAUGCUAAAUAACAAAAUGAUCGCGAUUGACUAACGUAUCGUACUAUCAUGGCACAUUGGCAUAACCAUAGUAUAGAGUACAACAGAUUGCAGAUAUCAUUAAGCUACGACUUAAUGAACGAGGCGUGCCGGACGUGGGAAGUCGUCUAUCGUACUGUAAUUAUCGUGCUGUAAUACCGAUCGAAAAUAGGAGUGCACUCCCUCACGUGAUCACGAUGAUGGUCAUGCUUCGCCACUUUGCCCUGUUUUGUGCAAUUGUGGCGAUUGUUUGCGCCGAUUGUAACGUGGGAACGUGGCAAGGAAUUUUCCUGAUUUGUUUUCAUUGAAUUGAUCGAUAAAGAGUUAUUAUUCGUGUGAUUCUUACUUUGAAAAUUUAAUAGAAUUUAGUAGAAUCUUCUUCAAGAAUUUUUCUAGAAUUUAAUAACGAACGAAGUAUUCGUAAAUUUUACGAAAAGAUUCUAUUAUAUUUCGUAUUCUUAUUGAUUCUAAUUACAGAAAGUUUAUAAAAAGUAAGUAUAAGGGACAUAAUCAUCAUGUUAAAUGUUAAAAUAUUGAAAAAUAUUUGUAAACAUCAUAUCUUUCGUUUAAAGAUGUCGAAGAAUAAGUAUUUUGCAUGUGCAACUUUUUUUAAAUAACUUAAUUAAUUUUAUUUUGAAAAAUAAAAUUCCAUCGUUUCUUUCAAUUCCUUCGAUUAUUUCAUACUUUUUCAUUCCGAGACGAAUAUAUAUAAUUCACAAAUUCAUUUCAAUAAUGUUAUAAUGAAAACAUCUUUUAUAUAUAUAUUCUUAUAUUCCAAUGUUUAUCACUACAACAAUAAUCAUCAACAACAAUACGAUAUUAACAAUAUGGUAAAUUAAUCAACUGAUAAAUCGAAAUAAUUCGAUAGUCUUCUAAUCAAAACCUAUCCAUUCUAUCCUUCUUCGCCACACCUCAUCAAUUAACAGAAAUUCCAUUAAUACCUUACACAAUACACAACUCAAUUACCAACCUCCUCCCCCUCGCCUAGAAAGAUAACCAUAACUUCGAUAAGAAACGCCACGAGACCCGGAUAAAAUAAGAUCCCAUAGCGAUUAAAAAGGAAACACGAUAAGGAAACACCCUUCGACAUCCAACUUACCAUUCCAUUCAACUGUUCCCAUCGAAAGAGACGCCACGUAGGCGGAUUAAGUCUCGUUAAGGAUAUCGCGGAGUCGUUAAAAAUAAUUGUCAGUCGGAUAAUUAAGGGGUGGAAAGCAGCCCGUUCCGAGAAGGGUAAGAAGAAGAAAUCAUUUCCAUGGUCUUAGACCUAACCCCUCUGCAACCUCUUAUAUUUGUCCUCUCUCUCUCUCUCUCUCUCCUUCUUCCUUUCUUUUCCCCCUUUCUUUCUUUUUUCCUUCCUCUCUCAUUCCGCCCGACAUAACGUCGUCUCCUCGUCAAUCUGCUUACGUUCCUCCUCGAAACGUAAGGCUCUUUAUCCACGGCUCGUAUUUUGUUAGCACAUCGUUAGGAAACCCAGAAGGGGGUGCACGGGUUCCUCGUCCAAAGAGGGUGGAUCCUCUCGACUGAUGGCCAUGCGAGGCUUGUUACGCAGAUCAGACGCGGUUGGAAUCGAAGCUUCC